rnacentral:lncRNA from 1 species
CAGGCAAUCUACAAGAUGGUCUCCUCGGUCAUGAAAAUGCCUGAAGAUGAAUCAACCCCAGAGAAAAGGACAGAAAAGAUCUUCCGCCAGAUGGACACCAACAGAGAUGGAAAACUCUCCCUGGAAGAAUUCAUCCGAGGGGCCAAAAGCGACCCAUCCAUUGUGCGUCUCCUGCAGUGCGACCCCAGCAGUGCCGGCCAGUUCUGAGCCCUGCACCCUCAAGGACGAUACAGCUGCUCGUGUCUCUCCUGAUUAGCUUUUAAACUUACUUCGUUUUUGUUUUUUGCUUUUUUUUUGUUUUUGUUUUUGCCAAACAAUAUUGAUGGUGAGACUGUCCCCUCUUCAGUCAGAUGUGCCCUCCUGUGACACUUGUGCCCCUUGCUUCUUUCAUGGCGGACGUGGAUGCCCAGAGCCCGUGUGCUUGUGGAAAGCAUGCACACACUUCGUUGUGUUCCCUGCUGGAUGACUGUUUAAUAAUUUCUUUCCUUUCAUUCUAAUGUCUCUACCUUAAAACCCAAGACUUGAGGGGCAAGAGAAGGGAAGUACAUUCAGCCCAGAGCUCCUUCUGCAAGCUUUGAGGGGCUUUGUGGAAAUACAAAACUCCUAACCUGGGUCUGUUGUCAAGCAUGCCUUCGGAACUAGAGUGGACACCUGAGGCUAAGUUUCCUAAGAACAGGUUACCCUCUGGGGUAAGGUUAUUAAAGGGAGCAGGGACAUUCCCCCCAGAGGCCCACUCCCACCCCAGCAGGCUGUAAUUUCUAAGCUGUGAACUUUUCGAGGUAAAUUAACAGAGAUGGGAAAGACGCUCAGCUGUUUAGUUUUUUUUUUCUCCCAGAGGUUUACAUAAGUUGAGCUAAUAUGUUUCUUUUAAAAAUCAAACACAUAUUCCAUAACCAGACCCAUCUUGCUGCCUACUUGUGAGACUGCUGUAUAUAAAACAUUGGGUAUUGCAGACCAAAUUAAGUGUUUUGCCUUGUAAAUGCAUGUUUAGUGAGCGCUAAUACAAGCUUACUACAGAAGACUGUUCUAGUAGCUUAUCGUGAAGCCAACUACGAUGAAUGUCAAUGUCUUGUUUUAAAGUCAUAGCUGUCUUUGCACAAAUGUACCAGUUAACAAGUAUAUUUUAUAUACUCCAUAAAGUCACAAAAGAAUGGUGACAAGGGCCCAGGUUUGAUUUCGAAUGGCUUUCUUGUGUCAGGGUGGCUGGAGGACCGGAGGAAGCCAGCUUUCUAGGCGUCUUGUCCAUCAGAGCAGCACUGGGAGCUCCAGUGACAAGCGGCCAAGGCCCGGCAGCAGGGAGCACAGGUGCGACACUAGUCUAAGAGACGAAGGUUCUACAGAUGUAGAAAAACAGAGACUUCCUAGCAAUUUAACCCACAUCCUUGGUGCAGGAGCCACGUCUAGAACGUUCAUUUCUCCUGCCCUCAGGUACCCUUCAAACAGUCAGGUGUGGGAUAUCCAGGGAAUUCACCCAAUAUAAGAGCCACAAAGGGACCUGCAGUGUCCAAGGCAGACCAUGGAGAUCCAACAGCUCUCUUCCUCACUGUGUUCUUCAAAUGCAGCCAAGCUGAGCUGCUGCCUGGGCUGGUUCAUCUCAUGCACACUACUUUGAAAUGAGGGCUGGAAAUAAAAUCUCCUGGCCACAGGCAAGCCAAGCCUCACACACAGCUUCCAUCGGAAGGCCUAAAUACUCAAGAGUGUUGGUGGCAGACCCUGCCUAAAAGGAGGCAGGAAGGUCUCUGUCCGGCAGCAGUCAAGCCAUGUCUGUAGAACAAGACCUGCAAAAUGUAAACUAGCCCCCUGCAGGUCCCUGACAGAAGUUUAAACUUGAAUGGUGGAUUAAAAUGAAUCCCUUAGUGGGUUGAAAUUUUGAGACCUAGAUUUUGUAAUCUUAAUUUCUCCUAGUGUCAUUUCCUUACAUUUUGUACUAAGGCUUGCCAACUCCUGUGGACCAAAUGGUAAAGUCUGUUUUUGCAAAGAAGAAUCAACUCAAGUGGUUGAACAUAAACAGGGGAAGGGAGCCAGCACGCUGGUGUUUGCGAGGUAGGCUCAUCGACUUCGGCUCUGCCUCAGGUUGAGCCAGACCCUGUUUCCUAGAGCUCAGAGUUGGAGUGGGAACUAGAGGUGAUCUCCAGCUAUUCGGACAUGAAAGGGCCGGAUGCAGAGGUUACGAACCCUGUGGUCACCAGAAAGCAUGAAGAGUCCCAGAAGUGGUUACCCACAGACCUAACAGACCUAUCUGUAUGUUUCCUUCCUCCUCCCCACCUUGCCCCAGGAAGGCAUUGGAUGUGUGUAAUUUUAUGCAUGUAUGUUUGACCAAGGGACUUCACAGCAUCAAGAGGGCCAAGUGCCUGAAGACAUCUGUCACUCCUGUGCCUAGGCAUUGUUUUCCUGGUGUUCAGAGAUCUCUGGCAGAAGUGGAGCCUGUUUUGUUCCAAGUAAAGGCAGCUUGUGCUGUCAAGGGACUGGACUAAAUGACUAAAUGGCUUAUGACUUGAAGGAUGUUUCAGAAUGCCUGACUGUUCAUACCUCGCUUAAGAUAGAGAAGGGAUGCUGUGGGUACUAUCCCGCCCCAGCAAUACUCCCCGGGGGACUGUCUACAGAUGAAUUUAAUAAUAUAGAUGUCAUGCUAUGUGGAGUGGCCCCGUUAUCAGUUGGUUGUGUAGCUCUUGCCUGGCAUUAAAGCAUGUUUAUUAUUUAAUAUUA